rnacentral:rRNA from 1 species
AUACGUAGGUGGCAAGCGUUGUCCGGAAUUAUUGGGCGUAAAGCGCGCGCAGGCGGCUUCUUAAGUCUGAUGUGAAAGCCCGCAGCUCAACUGCGGAGGGUCAUUGGAAACUGGGAAGCUUGAGUGCAGAAGAGGAGAGUGGAAUUCCACGUGUAGCGGUGAAAUGCGUAGAGAUGUGGAGGAACACCAGUGGCGAAGGCGGCUCUCUGGUCUGUAACUGACGCUGAGGCGCGAAAGCGUGGGGAGCAAACAGGAUUAGAUACCCUGGUAGUCCACGCCGUAAACGAUGAGUGCUAAGUGUUAGAGGGUUUCCGCCCUUUAGUGCUGCAGCUAACGCAUUAAGCACUCCGCCUGGGGAGUACGGCCGCAAGGCUGAA